AAUUCGAUGCAACGCGAAGAACCUUACCUGGUCUUGACAUCCCGGAGACCCUUAGGAAACUAGGGGUGCUUCCAUCUGGAAGAAUCUGGAGACAGGUGCUGCAUGGCUGUCGUCAGCUCGUGUCGUGAGAUGUUGGGUUAAGUCCCGCAACGAGCGCAACCCUUGCCUUUAGUUGCCAGCAGUUCGGCUGGGCACUCUAAAGGGACUGCCGGUGUUAAACCGGAGGAAGGUGGGGAUGACGUCAAGUCCUCAUGGCCUUUAUGACCAGGGCUACACACGUACUACAACGGCCGAUACAAAGGGCAGCGACACUGCGAGGUGAAGCCAAUCCCGUAAAAUCGGUCUCAGUCCGGAUUGGAGUCUGCAACUCGACUCCAUGAAGUUGGAAUCGCUAGUAAUCGUGGAUCAGCAUGCCACGGUGAAUACGUUCCCGGGCCUU
rnacentral:rRNA from 1 species